GUUAUUUUAUUAUGAGGAGUCUUGCCCUGCUUUGAUUACUGCCACAGACACCUGCAAGGCUAAAGCUACUGCUCAGCAGAAUUAAAGUUGUCACCCCACAGCAAACUGCAGAGCUGGUGUGAGAGCAGACAAAGCUCAGAACUACAGCAGGUUCAGCCACCUCUUGGUCAGAUCUGCUCACCUUUAAGAUGUCAGAUGUCAUGGUUUUCAGGGGGAUAAGCCGGGGGUCGUGCAUGUGCACGUCCUGCUCGUCAGCGAGGAUCCACGGGAAGUCCUGGGGGCAGGAACACAAGGUGUGUUACUGGCAGAGCCUGGCAGUGCUGCAAGGUGAGCUCUUCCUCAGUGUUAAGUGAAUGAGAGAGUGAAUGGCUGAGGAAGAAACAGGUAACUUAAACCUUCCACAACAGCAAAACUUAACACUUGCACACUUGGCCCUGAGACUCAGGAUAACUGUCUUCAGUUACAGCAUCAAACCAUGAUGUCAGCCCUCUGCUUACUGCAAAGGGGACACCUCACUUCUUUAAAAGAUACACUCUCAGCUGUCACGAGCUACCCUGUUCUUCUGUCCCUUAUACCAGCAUUUAACUGCAACUCCUGAAUGCCUGGGGCAUGGAUUUCCAUCCUGCCUUGGAAGUUUAAAGCUUGGCCUACCACACUCCCAGUUUCCAUUACUAAGCAGUACAGAGCCAUUGAAAUAAUUUUAUACUUCGUUAGCUUUAUUUAUUGUGCCUUAGGACACAUAAUAUAACUUGGCCCAGGAAAAAAGUUUCCCUGUAUCUGUGCAAGGAUUCUUUAAAAAAAAAAUAAAAUCUUGCUUUAGAAAGUGAUCUGUACACACUUUGAAAUUUAUUUGUGCCCCCAAACCUACUAGUUACUUGAAUCUUAGUCUGCCUUGCUCCUUAUGCAGAAUCAGGAGGAUCAUCAGGGGAUGAGAGCUGCUUUUUAUUGAUUAAAUUCAAAUACCUGUUCUACAUGUCUCAGCACUUCUAAGUGACUGAUCAGGCACUGGGCAGUGAGUGUUGUUACAACCUGUUUCAGGGUCUGAAGCAGCCGUUGUCUGCAGCUGUGUGUGGUGGAUGUGCUCCCACCUCACCAGCACAAACCAUUUUAACCCACUUCAAGAACAGCUGUGAAGUGCCUCACACGACACUAAGUGCAUGUUCAAAACAUCUGUCAGCCUUAACCUCAGAGAGAACAAAACUCUGCUCUGCCCAGUCUUUGCUCUGCAGCUUCUCACAGAGUCAGGUGCCCAAAGGUGUCACUCACCUUUAUCACCUGGAUCUUUUCCAUGUUCCGUGUGGCAGCCUCCCGUGUGUGAACCAGAACUGUGAAGGUGCAACCUGAGAGAGAAAUGGCAGGUUCCAGCUUGGGGGACAGCUCCCAGGGGGUGGGCCAAGCCAGACAAUGCCAGGCAUGAGGUUGUUUGGAUCCGAGGGACGUUUACCCGGGGGGUUGUUGUCCAGCACAGCGUCGCACACGCUGAUUUUCAGGAUGAAGGCACGGAGUAACUGCUCCACGUGGGACAGCAGGGACUCAGAACUGUGGAGGACAUAGCAGUUGUUACUGGCACGCAGCAAAGGGCUGGAGCUGCUCCCAGAACAGCCCUUGGAGGCAGGUGUUGGAUGCCAUGGGCAAGCAGGAGUGGAAACCUCACCUAAUGGAAAGCAGAGGUGGCUGGGUGAUCUCAAAGACAAAUCUCUCCACCGGGUGGUGCUCUUUAUCCAGGAUUACAACCACGACUUUUUCCACAUCGUUCUGCAAGAACAAAGAUUAGAAAAAUCCCUUCCUUAAAACCAGCUGUGUACUGCCCCCAGUGUGCUCUGAUAUAGCGGGAGUGCACUCCCACUGUAUUUGUUGGGGCUCACAGCACAAGCAGUUAUCCAAAGCUUGAGCUCAGAUUAUCCUUAGCAAUCAGAAAAAUUGCUUUUGUAAAGCCAUUUCUUGCUGGAUUUUAAACUGACAGCUUGUGGCUAAGGCUGAGACAGAUGGGUGUGCUAAAUUGUGUGUUCCUGUUUUGGAACAAGGAGGAGAUGCAGCCAUCUCACUGCAUCCCUCAGGGAUGGACACUGAGGGACAUAAGAAACACUCAGACCAUUGGCCAAACAGAGCAGCUUUGUACAACCACAGUGUACAACUGACCUCAUUCUGUUUUCUGUCUGUGAAGAGCAAGGAGUACAAAACCUGCUAGCAGCCUCCUGGAAUAUUUCACAGGUCACACCUUUCUCUUACAAAAGCAUUCAAACUGUUCUGCCAGGACAGGUGCUUAAACAGGAUUCAAAAGCAGAAUGGUAAAGUGCAGGAUGAUGUAACUGGAAAUACACACACACGUGUCCUCAGGUACAAGUAGGAAAUGCAGCAAGGCCUUAACUGCCAGAAAAGGUUACGGGUAUUGGGUUUAGUUUUGUUAGGAACUUUAUCAGCUAAUAUAGUGUAUAUGGUAAAUUAGUAAAUAAAGGUUGCAAUUAAGAGAGUA